rnacentral:rRNA from 1 species
UGCCAGCCGCCGCGGUAAUACGAAGGGGGCAAGCGUUGUUCGGAAUCACUGGGCGUAAAGCGCACGUAGGCGGAUCGUUAAGUCAGGGGUGAAAUCCCGAGGCUCAACCUCGGAACUGCCUUUGAUACUGGCGAUCUUUGAGUCCGGGAGAGGUGAGUGGAAUUCCGAGUGUAGAGGUGAAAUUCGUAGAUAUUCGGAGGAACACCAGUGGCGAAGGCGGCUCACUGGCUCGAUACUGACGCUGAGGUACGAAAGUGUGGGGAGCAAAAGGGAUUAGAUA